rnacentral:rRNA from 1 species
UACAGGGGGGGCAAGCGUUGUUCGGAAUUACUGGGCGUAAAGGGCUCGUAGGUGGCCAACUAAGUCAGACGUGAAAUCCCUCGGCUUAACCGGGGAACUGCGUCUGAUACUGGAUGGCUUGAGUUUGGGAGAGGGACGCGGAAUUCCAGGUGUAGCGGUGAAAUGCGUAGAUAUCUGGAGGAACACCGGUGGCGAAGGCGGCUACCUGGACCAGCACUGACACUGAGGCACGAAAGCGUGGGGAGCAAACAGG